GUUGCGGAAGAAAUCAUAAGAUUAGUCUCAAUCACGAGCAGAUCCAACAUACCUUCUAAAGGUGUGUCUCUUAAACUCUUCAAGAUCUCUUACUUAAUUUUUUGAUCUAAGACACAACCUAAUUACUCGAAACUCAAAAUACUUUUCAAGUUCCUAAGCCAAUUUUUAAAAUUGAAACCUAACAAUCAGUUGUAUUCAAAGAAGCGGGCAAGUCACUCAGAGGCAGACUAUUUUCCUACAGAG
rnacentral:lncRNA from 1 species